GUGUGUGUGCGCACAUACAUAUCUCUGUGUGUGUGUGUGCGCGCGUUUGUGCAUGUGUGCUGGGAUGUAACAAUAUGCUCUCUAUACUCAGAGAAGUUGGGAUAGAUAUGGAAAUCAAUAGAGCAAGGCCAAGGUCCUGACCCUCUCCACCGCAGUAUCCUGGGCUUUCUAAGGUGAUGGUCUCAAGGUCCUGACCCUCUCCACCGCAGUAUCCUGGGCUUUCUAAGGUGAUGGUCUCAAGGUCCUGACCCUCUCCACCGCAGUAUCCUGGGCUUUCUAAGGUGAUGGUCUCAAGGUCCUGACCCUCUCCACCGCAGUAUCCUGGGCUUUC
rnacentral:lncRNA from 1 species